rnacentral:rRNA from 1 species
AGAGUUUGAUCAUGGCUCAGAACGAACGCUGGCGGCAGGCCUAACACAUGCAAGUCGAACGUGAAGCCACCUUCGGGUGGUGGAAAGUGGCAGACGGGGUGAGUAACGCGUGGGAACGUGCCUUUCGGUUCGGAAUAACCCAGGGAAACUUGGGCUAAUACCGGAUACGCCCUUCGGGGGAAAGAUUUAUCGCCGAAAGAUCGGCCCGCGUCGGAUUAGCUUGUUGGUGGGGUAAAAGCCUACCAAGGCGACGAUCCGUAGCUGGUCUGAGAGGAUGACCAGCCGCACUGGGACUGAGACACGGCCCAGACUCCUACGGGAGGCAGCAGUGGGGAAUAUUGGACAAUGGGCGAAAGCCUGAUCCAGCCAUGCCGCGUGGGUGAAGAAGGCCCUAGGGUUGUAAACCCCUUUCAGCGGGGAAGAUAAUGACGGUACCCGCAGAAGAAGCCCCGGCUAACUCCGUGCCAGCAGCCGCGGUAAUACGGAGGGGGCUAGCGUUGUUCGGAAUUACUGGGCGUAAAGCGCGCGUAGGCGGACUUUCAAGUCAGGGGUGAAAUCCCGAGGCUCAACCUCGGAACUGCCUUUGAUACUGUAAGUCUUGAGUCCGAGAGAGGUGAGUGGAAUUCCUAGUGUAGAGGUGAAAUUCGUAGAUAUUAGGAAGAACACCAGUGGCGAAGGCGGCUCACUGGCUCGGUACUGACGCUGAGGCGCGAAAGCGUGGGGAGCAAACAGGAUUAGAUACCCUAGUAGUCC